AAUCACGAAACUUCUAAGUAUCGGAGUGUGGUAUCGUCUUGACUUGCCUUAUCUGUCUCAUAGGUAGAUGUGGUAUCUUUAACUCGUGGAGAUGCACAAGGUAAUGUAUCAAUUUUACUUGAAGCUUACUUGUAGUUUCAGGCUUGGUCAAGCGCGAUACAAACCAUGUAGUAGGAAUCCCCCAAGUCGCCGAGCUAGGGGAUCUGCUGAAAGAGGUGACAGACAAGGUAAGCAAUCAGAGCUCCGGCUGAUUGUUCACCUUUUCCCCAUCUUGUAGCAGCAUGAAGGAUAAAGAGAAGAAAAAUGAGAAGAUAUGAUAUGGGAUACUUUUGCUUUUGAAGAAGUAACUUUCCACAUGCUUAUUCUUGAACUGAGCUGGAGGGUUUUCUGGUGUCCUCCAGAGUAUAAGGCCGACUGAAGAAUUUGAGGGUCAAAACAAGUCCAUCAAAUCUAGAGUACGUUCGACCCUGCUGAUAUGGGAUACUUUUGCUUUUGACAGAGUAAUGGAUGUAUCGACACGUGUGCUGUUACGCUUGUCUCCACAUGCUUCCUUAUAUCCUUCGCACUUGCCCUAUCUGUUCCUCAAGCAGAUGUGGUAUCUUCCCUGGAAGCAUAAGAUGUUGAAGAUGAGUACUCGAGAGCAAUGCCAGGUAAGUAAUCAGGUAAGGGGUUCCAGGCAGUCAGUUCCUGGCUGGAAGCUUGAUUCCAAGUGCUGACUGAUUGCUCUCUUUCUCCUACUCGAGAGCAAUGCCAGGUAAGUAAUCAGGUAAGGGGUUCCAGGCAGUCAGUUCAUGGCUGAAAGCUUGAUUCCAAGUGCUGACUGAUUGCUCUCUUUCUCCUUGUCUUGCAGGUAAGAACAAGGCCAAAGGAAAAGACAGGGAAAAAGCAUGAUAUGGGAUACUCUUGCUUUUAACCCUGAUGAUAUGAGAUAUUCUUGCUCUAGUAUAGCUUGUUUGCAGAGGUAUUAUCGGGGGGAAAGAAAGCUGAAUAUUUCGAAAGGCUUCGUUGGGAGUGCCCUCUCAGAUAUGAGGAAGGGUUGAGCAUUUUUGCAGGUCUGCCUGUCCGUUGGGGAUAAAGGUCGACAUAUAUAGGAGUCUCCCUAACAACAAGUAGUAAUGCUAUUCCUUUACCCUGCUUGGUCCUAGCACGGUAGUGGGAGCUGCCAGCUUCACAUGUUUUAACUCUGUCAGAGAACUUUGAAAAAGUGGUAUGUGAUAUAUGGCUCUCGAGAAUCGAAGAACGAUGCCUCUUCGAUUUUUGAGAAAGCAAUCAUGCUGGGGGUCUGGCUCUCGAGAUUCGGAGAGCAGUGUCUCUUCGAUUUUUGAGAAAGUAAUCAUGUUGGGAGUCUGGCUUCGGAGGGCGGUGCCUCUUUGAUUUUGGAGCAAGCAAAAGUGUUUUCUCGAAUGUGAGUAAAGGUUGGGCAUGUUUACUAGUCUACCUUGCCACGAAGCACAUAGGUUGACACACAGGGACUUUCCAAUUAUCCAGCAAUGGUACUGUUCCUUUACUGUCUCUUCGAUUUUGAGAAAGUAGUCAUGUUGGGAGUCUGGCUCUCGAGAUUCGGAGGACGGUGCCUCUUCGAUUUUGGAGCAAACAAUCUUGUUGGGAGUGUUUUCUCGAAUGUGAGUAAAGGUUGGGCAUGUUUGCUAGUUACCUUGCAACGAAGCACAUAGGUUGACACACAGGGACUUUCCAAUUAUCCAGCAGUGGUACUGUUCCUUUACCCUUGUGGGUAAUAAUAUGGUAGCUAGACCUUCAAAAUAUAUGUGUCUAAACUUUGUUAGUGUUGUUUCUUUGCUAUUCUUUUACCUUUCUUGGUCAGAGCGACGUAGUGGGAGCUGAAAGCUUCACGUGCUCAACUUUGGCAGAGAACUUUGGCAAAGUUAUCUGUGGUACCCAUGAGCUAUUGUUGCGUGUGGGAAGUGGGUGAUUGAACAAUAAGAUUCAUGUGCUUUCUACUUCACCAGAAGUCUUCGACAGAAUGCCCAUAAUUUCCGCAAAGCUGAGUGUGCGUGUGACAGGUGCUGAUAAGGCUAGAAAAGUAGGUGCCUCUUCGAUUUCUAAGAUCGGCCCUCGUGGUCUCUAAGCAGCCCAGCUUUUGAGAAAGUGAGCGCCUCUUCGAUUGAUUCGGAAAACGAUGCCUCUUCGAUUUUUGAGAAAGCAAUCAUGUUGGGGGUCUGUCUCUCGAGAUUCGGGGAGCAGUGUCUCUUCGAUUUUUAAGAAAGUAAUCAUGUUGGGAGUCUGGCUCUUGAGAUUCGGAGGGCGGUGCCUCUUCGAUUUUGGAGCAAGCAAUCUUGUUGGGAGUGUUUUCUCGAAUGUGAGUAAAGGUUGGGCAUGUUUGCUAGUCUACCUUGCCACGAAGCACAGAGGUUGACACACAGCGACUUUCUAAUUAUCCAGCAAUGGUACUGUUCCUUUACCCUCUCUUCGAUUUUUAAGAAAGUAGUCAUGUUGGGAGUCUGGCUCUCGAGAUUCGGAGGACGGUGCCUCUUCGAUUUUGGAGCAAGCAAUCUUAUUGGGAGUGUUUUCUCGAAUGUGAGUAAAGGUUGGGCAUGUUUGGGCAUGUUUGCUAGUCUACCUUGCCACGAAGCACAGAGGUUUACACACAGGGACUUUCCAAUUAUCCAGCAGUGGUACUGUUCCUUUACCCUUGUGGGUAAUAAUAUGGUAGCUAGACCUUCAAAAUUUAUGGGUCUAAACUUUGUUAGUGCUGUUUCUUUGCUAUUCUUUUACCCUUCUUGGUCAGAGCGAUGUAGUGGGAGCUGCAAGCUUCACGUGCUCAACUUUGGCAAAGAACUUUGGCAAAGUUAUCUGUGGUACCCAUGAGCUAUUGUUGCGUGUGGGAAGUGGGUGAUUGAAUAGUAAGAUUCAUGUGUUUUCUACUUCACCAGAAGUCUUCGACAGAAUGCCCAUAAUUUCCGCAAAGCUGAGUGUGCGUGUGACAGGUGCUGACAAGGCUGGAAAAGUAGGUGCCUCUUCGAUUUCUGAGAUCGGCCCUCGUGGUCUCUGAGGAGCCCAGCUUUUGAGAAAGCGAGCACCUCUUCGAUUUCUGAGAUCGGCCUUCGUGGUCUUUGAGCAGCCCAGCUUUUGAGAAAGCAAACGCCUUUUCGAUUUCUGCGUUCAACCCUCGUGGUCGCUAAGCAGCCCAGCUUUUGAGAAAGCAAACGCCUCUUCGAUUUCUGAGCAGGCGCCUCUUCGAUUUCUGAAGCUCCGUCGAGUGCAGAUUUGUAUAGGGGCUGGCAUUAAGUUCCAAAGCACACUUGAAUCUCCACCAGUAGAAGCUCCAUUCUUGCACUUCUAAGAUCUUGAUUUGUCCGACCUCUUCUCUCUUCAACACCUUUGAAAAUGUCUGGCCCCUCCGACCGUCGUUUUGACUUGAACCUUGUUGAAGAUGCAGCCCCGCCUUCUCCAGACAACAUAUGGCGCCCAUCCUUCGUCUCCCCUACUGGUCCUCUUACCGGUGGGGAUUCCGUGAUGAAGAAUGAUAUGACCGCUGUGGUGGUGGCCAGGAACCUUCUUACUCCCAAAGAUAACAGACUACUUUCCAAACGGUUUGAUGAGUUAGCUGUUAAGGAUUCGCUGGCUCUCAGUGUUCAGUGUGCAGGUUCUGUGUCUAAUAUGGCCCAACGCCUAUUUGCUCGAACCCGCCAAGUUGAAUCAUUGGCGGCUGAAGUGAUGAGUCUCAAACAGGAGAUUAGAGGGCUCAAGCAUGAGAAUAAACAGUUGCACCGGCUAGCACAUGACUAUGCUACAAACAUGAAGAGGAAGCUUGACCAGAUGAAGGAAACUGAUGGUCAGGUUUUACUUGAUCAUCAGAGAUUUGUGGGUUUGUUCCAAAGGCAUUUAUUGCCUUCAUAUUCUAGGGCUGUACCGCAUAAUGAAGCUCCAAAUGAUCAACCUCUGAUGCCUCCCCCUUCUAGGGUUCUGUCCAGUACUGAGGCUCCGAAUAAUCCCCCUCCGGUGCCUUCUCUUUCUGGCGCUCUACCGACUGCUGAGACUUCUCCUAAGCAACCUUUGUGAAGGCUCCCUCUUGUUUGUUUAUUUUGACACAUGUAUAUGUACAUAUUUGUAGCUUAUCGGGGAAAUCAAUAAAUAAGCUUUCCUUCAUUUCAACGUAUUGUGUUAAAUACACUAAAGCCUUAUUCGCUAAGUUCUUUGAAUUUUCUUUUGUUGAAGCUUUCUGAGUGGAGCAUGUAGGUUGGGGUAGUGUUCCCUUAAUUUCCCGAGUGAGGAAAACUUCUCGGUUGGAGACUUGGAAAAUCCAAGUCACUGAGUGGGAUCGGCUAUAUGAAUCCAAGUCACUGAGUGGGAUCGGCUAUUCCUUUACCCUGCUUGGUCAUAGCACGGUAGUGGGAGCUGUCAACUUCACAUGUUUUAACUCUGUCGGAGCACUUUGAAAAAGUGGUCUGUGGUAUCUGGAAAGCUGAUGUUGCGUGUGAAGAUAACAGACAAGCUUUAUCCAAGGAGAUCCGGCUCUUGAAGUUGGGAAAGUGGUGCCUCUUCGGUUUUCGAACAAGCAUUCCUGUCGGGGAUCUCGCUCUCGAGAUUCGGAGAACGAUGCCUCUUCGAUUUUUGAGAAAGCAAUCCUGCUGGGGGUCUGGCUCUCGAGAUUCGGAGAGCGGUGUCUUCGAUUUUUGAGAAAGUAAUCAUGUUGGGAGUCUGGCUCUCGAGAUUCGGAGGGCGGUGCCUCUUCGAUUUUGGAGCAAGCAAUCUUGUUGGGAGUGUUUUCUCGAAUGUGAGUAAAGGUUGGGCAUGUUUGCUAGUCUACCUUGCCACGAAGCACAGAGGUUGACACACAGGGACUUUCCAAUUAUCCAGCAGUGGUACUGUUCAUUUACCCUCUCUUCGAUUUUUGAGAAAGUAAUCAUGUUAGGAGUCUGGCUCUCGAGAUUCGGAGGGCGGUGCCUCUUCGAUUUUGGAGCAAGCAAUCUUGUUGGGGGUGUUUUCUCGAAUGUGAGUAAAGGUUGGGCAUGUUUGCUAGUCUACCUUGCCACGAAGCACAGAGGUUGACACACAGGGACUUUCCAAUUAUCCAGCAGUGGUACUGUUCCUUUACCCUCUCUUCGAUUUAUGAGAAAGUAAUCAUGUUGGGAGUCUGGCUCUCGAGAUUCGGAGGGCGAUGCCUCUUCGAUUUUGGUGCAAGCAAUCUUGUUGGGAGUGUUUUCUCGAAUGUGAGUAAAGGUUGGGCAUGUUUGCUAGUCUACCUUGCCACGAAGCACAGAGGUUGACACACCGGGACUUUCCAAUUAUCCAGCAGUGGUACUGUUCCUUUACCCUUGUGGGUAAUAAUAUGGUAGCUAGGCCUUCAAAAUUUAUGUGUCUAAACUUUGUUAGUGUUGUUUCUUUGCUAUUCUUUUACCCUCUUGGUCAGAGCGAUGUAGUGAGAGCUACAAGCUUCAUGUGUCUCAACUUUGUCAGAGAACUUUGGCAAAGUUAUAUGUGAUACCCAUGAGCUACUGUUGCGUGUGGGAAGUGGGUGAUUGAACAGUACGAUUCAUGUGCUUUCUACUUCGCUAGAAAUCUUCGACAGAAUGCCCAUAAUUUCCGCAAAGCUGAGUGUGCGUGUGACAGGUGCUGACAAGGCUGGAAAAGUAGUCUCCACUUUGUCAGAGAACUUUGGCAAAGUUAUAUGUGGUACCCAUGAGCUACUGUUGCGUGUGGGAAGUGGGUGAUUGAACAGUACGAUUCAUGUGUUUUCUACUUCGCCAGAAAUCUUCGACAGAAUGCCCAUAAUUUCCGCAAAGCUGGGUGCGUGUGACAGGUGCUGACAAGGCUGGAAAAGUAGGUGCCUCUUCGAUUUCUGAGAUCGGCCCUCAUGGUCUCUGAGCAGCCCAGCUUUUGAGAAAGCAAACCUCUUCGAUUUCUGAGAUCAGCCCUCGUGGUCUCUGAGCAGCCCAGCUUUUGAGAAAGCAAACCUCUUCGAUUUCUGAGGUCGGCCUUCGUGGUCUUUGAGCAGCCUAGCUUUUGAGAAAGCAAACGCCUCUUCGAUUUCUGAGAUCGACCCUCGUGGUCUCUGAGCCGCCCAGCUUUUAAGAAAGCAAACGCCUCUUCGAUUUCUGAGCAGGCGCCUCUUCGAUUUCUGAAGCUUCGUCGAGUGCAGAUUUUUAUAGGGGCUGACAUUAAGUUCCAAAGCACACUUGAAUAUCCACCAGUAGAAGCUCCAUUCUUGCACUUCUAAGAUCUUGAUUUGUCCGACCUCUUCUCUAUUCAACACCUUUGAAAAUGUCUGGCCCCUCCGACCGUCGUUUUGACUUGAACCUUGUUGAAGAGGCAGCCCCGCCUUCUCCAGACAACAUAUGGCGCCCAUCCUUCGUCUCCCCUACUGGUCCUCUUACCGUUGGGGAUUCCGUGAUGAAGAAUGAUAUGACCGCUGCGGUAGUGGCCAUGAACCUUCUCACUCCCAAAGAUAACAGACUACUUUCCAAACGGUCUGAUGAGUUGGCUGUUAAGGAUUCUCUGGCUCUUAGUGUUCAGUGUGCAGGUUAUGUGUCUAAUAUGGCCCAACGCCUAUUUGCUCGAACCCGCCAAGUUGAAUCAUUGGCUGCUGAAGUGAUGAGUCUCAAACAGGAUAUUAGAGGGCUCAAGCAUGAGAAUAAACAGUUGCACCGGCUCGCACAUGACUAUGCUACAAACAUGAAGAGGAAGCUUGACCAGAUGAAGGAAUCUAAUGGUCAGGUUUUACUUGAUCAUCAAAGAUUUGUGGGUUUGUUCCAAAGGCAUUUAUUGCCUUCGUCUUCUGGGGCUGUACCGCGUAAUGAAUCUUCAAAUGAUCAACCUCUGAUGCCUCCUCCUUCUAGGGUUCUGUCCAGUACCGAGGCUCUGAAUGAUCCCCCUCCGGUGCCUUCUCUUUCUGGGGCUCUACCGACUGCUAAGACUUCUCCUAAGCAACCUUUGUGAAGGCUCCCUCUUGUUUGUUUAUUUUGACUCAAGUAUAUGUACAUAUUUGUAACUUAUCGGGGAUAUCAAUAAAUAAGCUUUCCUUCAUUUCAACGUAUUGUGUUAAAUCACCAAAGCCUUCUUCGCUAAGUUCUUUGAAUUUUCUUUUGUUGAAGCUUGUAUGUUGAAGCUUUGUGAGUGGAGCAUGUAGGUUGAGGUAGUGUUCCCUUAAUUUCCCGAGCGAGGACAACUUCUCGGUUGGAGACUUGGAAAAUCCAAGUCACUGAGUAGGAUCGGCUAUAUGAAUCUUAGAACACCAUUGUGUUCUGUAGGCACAACACCACCAAAGGAAAGAAACCUAGUGAUCACAUACAUUUUGAACAUUGCCAAUAAAAGAGCAAUCAGAUCAAAAUAAUACAGGCGAUGCCAGAAAUUGAUUCAAAUUUGUAGAAAAACUACACUCAAAAUACCCAAAACGAGAAAAGGAUUAGGCCACACAUUACCAUCCACUCCAAUUAUCGGUCCACAUUUUGGGUCUCUUUUCAGGAAGUCGGGGUCCAUUGAUCACAAUAAAAUCCAUUGCAAGUGCUGAUCUGUAGGUAGUUAAUAUAGCAUGCCAGUAGAGCAAAGAAACCAUCUUGAGAAUUCGUCUUUAUACAGUCAAUACAAAAGAAUACAAAUGAAAACUGACUACAAAAGCCUCACCACGGAUGCAAGAGCAUCAGCUUGCUGACACAUGACCCAGGGUACCCCUGUAUCCAAAGACACGGCCAUGCUUGCUGCCCACUUAAUAUAGGUUUGGGCAGCAGCCCCAUAUGCUUGAUCAAUGUUUCCAUACUCGAUUUCAAUCUGGUAUAAUUGAAACAAUUAACCCAUAACUCAAAUUGGAAUAUUCUUAAAACGAAAAACAUUGGGUAAAUAAUAAAAAGAAUAAAGAAAAUUUUAAACCUGGGAUCAAAUGAUGGGUCCUCCCUGAGAUGCAUAAAGCUUUUCCUUCUUCAUCAUAUCAAAAUUUUUUGCCGUGAACCGCUGCAUUUCUGCCUGAGCCACAUAAAUUCUAAUAAAACACUGAAGUUGAGAAAAUACCAAGAAAGGAAACACAAACACAGGCAAUUGGGAUAAAGUGGAGAAGAAGAAACCUUGAACAGCUCAUUGUCCGUUCGCAAUUGAAUUCCGGGUAUGAAAUGCACCCAAAGAGGAAAGCCACUGUUGAAAAAUUGAAACGCCAAUCACACAAUAAAACUUCUUCAGAAAGUACUGAAAAGUAAGUUGAUCAUCAUAAAAGCAACUUCCUUUUUCUAUUUCUCAAAAAAGGAAAAUGUAAAAAGACCAAUUAAAAUUCAAUUAAAUUCAUAAUACACAUAGUUCCAUUCUGCGCACACAUAUGCACCAAUUCGAAGGUGCACUAGAAGGCCAGCUUCUGCUACUGUCUUCACAAAUUUUACCAAAUCUUUUCUUCCACCAAAAUCAUACUGCAAGAAGUUGUAUGUUCCACCAGUCACCAUCAUAACAAAGACAAAAUGCACAAUUCAAGAUAACCAACAACAACAACAACAACAAAGCCUUUUCCCACUAAGUGGGGUCGGCUAUAUGAAUCCUAGAACGCCAUUGCGCUCGGUUUUGUGUCAUGUCCUCCGUUAGAUCCAAGUACUCUAAGUCUUUUCUUAGAGUCUCUUCCAAAGUUUUCAUAGGUCUUCCUCUACCCCUUCGGCCCUGAACCUCUGUCCCGUAGUCACAUCUUCGAAUCGGAGCAUCAGUAGGCCUUCUUUGCACAUGUCCAAAUCACCGGAACCGAUUUUCUCUCAUCUUUCCUUCGGCUACUCCUACUUUACCUCGGAUAUCCUCAUUCCCAAUCUUAUCCUUUCUCGUGUGCCUACACAUCCCACGAAGCAUCCUCAUCUCCGCCACACCCAUUUUGUGUACGUGUUGAUGCUUCACCGCCCAACAUUCUGUGCCAUACAACAUCGUUGGCCUUAUUGCCGUCCUACAAAAUUUUCCCUUGAGCUUCAGUGGCCUACGACGGUCACACAACACGCCGGAUGCACUCUUACACUUCAUCCAUCCAACUUGUAUUCUAUGGUUGAGAUCUCCAUCUAAUUCUCCGUUCUCUUGUACGAUAGAUCCUAGGUAGCGAAAAUGGUCGCUUUUUGUGAUCUUCGCUAGAUUGCUCCGGUCAUUAGUGUGGAUAAGUAUACAAAUGGAUAGAGAUAUGAAAGCAAACACAAGAUGUACGUGGUUCACCCAGAUUGGCUACGUCCACGGAAUAGAGGAGUUCUCAUUAAUUGUGAAGGGUUUACACAAGUACAUAGGUUCAAGCUCUCCUUUAGUGAGUACAAGUGAAUGAUUUAGUACAAAUGACAUUAGGAAAUAUUGUGGGAGAAUGAUCUCGUAAUCACGAACUUCUAAGUAUCGGAGUGUGGUAUCGUCUUGACUUGCCUUAUCCGUCUCAUAGGUAGAUGUGGCAUCUUCUCUGGAAGUACUCUUCCUCCAUCCAGGGGUGGUAUCUUUAACUGGUAGAGAUGCACAAGGUAAUGUAUCAAUUUCACUUGAAGCUUACUUGUAGUUUCAGGCUUGGUCAAGCGCGAUACAAACCAUGUAGUAGGAGUCCCCCAAGUCGCCGAGCUAGGGGAUCUGCUGAAAGAGGUGACAGACAAGGUAAGCAAUUAGAGCUCCGGCUGAUUGUUCACAUUCUCCCUAUCUUGCAGGCAGCA
rnacentral:lncRNA from 1 species